rnacentral:rRNA from 1 species
CCUACGGGCGGCAGCAGUGAGGAAUAUUGGUCAAUGGGCGUAAGCCUGAACCAGCCAAGCCGCGUGAGGGAUGAAGGUUCUAUGCAUCGCAAACCUCUUUUGCCAGGGAACAAAGUGCCGGACGCGUCCCGUCCUGCAUGUACCCUACGAACAAGCAUCGGCUAACUCCGUGCCAGCAGCCGCGGUAAUACGGAGGGUCCGGGCGUUAUCCGGAUUUAUUGGGUUUAAAGGGUGCGCCGGCGGCGCUUUAAGGCAGCGGUGGAAAGCUGAGGGUCAACCAUGGGAGGGCCGUUGAAACUGGGGGGCUUGAGUGUGGUGGAGGCAGGCGGAAUGCGUGGUGGAGCGGGG